rnacentral:rRNA from 1 species
AUUGAACGCUGGCGGCAUGCUUUACACAUGCAAGUCGAACGGCAGCGCGGGCUUCGGCCUGGCGGCGAGUGGCGAACGGGUGAGUAAUACAUCGGAACGUGCCCAGUAGUGGGGGAUAGCUCGGCGAAAGCCGGAUUAAUACCGCAUACGGCCUGAGGGUGAAAGCGGGGGAUCUUCGGACCUCGCGCUAUUUGAGCGGCCGAUGGCAGAUUAGCUAGUUGGUGGGGUAAAGGCCUACCAAGGCGACGAUCUGUAGCUGGUCUGAGAGGACGACCAGCCACACUGGGACUGAGACACGGCCCAGACUCCUGCGGGAGGCAGCAGUGGGGAAUUUUGGACAAUGGGCGAAAGCCUGAUCCAGCAAUGCCGCGUGUGUGAUGAAGGCCUUCGGGUUGUAAAGCACUUUUGGCGGGAACGAAAAGGACUGUGCCAAUACCACGGUUCGAUGACGGUACCCGCAGAAUAAGCACCGGCUAACUACGUG